CCUACGGGAGGCAGCAGUGGGGAAUUUUGGACAAUGGGCGAAAGCCUGAUCCAGCAAUGCCGCGUGAGUGAAGAAGGCCUUCGGGUUGUAAAGCUCUUUUGUCAGGGAAGAAACGGUGAGAGCUAAUAUCUCUUGCUAAUGACGGUACCUGAAGAAUAAGCACCGGCUAACUACGUGCCAGCAGCCGCGGUAAUACGUAGGGUGCAAGCGUUAAUCGGAAUUACUGGGCGUAAAGCGUGCGCAGGCGGUUUUGUAAGUCUGAUGUGAAAUCCCCGGGCUCAACCUGGGAAUUGCAUUGGAGACUGCAAGGCUAGAAUCUGGCAGAGGGGGGUAGAAUUCCACGUGUAGCAGUGAAAUGCGUAGAUAUGUGGAGGAACACCGAUGGCGAAGGCAGCCCCCUGGGUCAAGAUUGACGCUCAUGCACGAAAGCGUGGGGAGCAAACAGGAUUAGAUACCCUGGUAGUCCACGCCCUAAACGAUGUCUACUAGUUGUCGGGUCUUAAUUGACUUGGUAACGCAGCUAACGCGUGAAGUAGACCGCCUGGGGAGUCGGUUCGCGAAGAUUAAAACGUCAAAGAGUUAGUACGGCGUUGNGAGAGCGACGACGACGACGACGGAGGAGGAGG
rnacentral:rRNA from 1 species